UCUUUAAAUGUGGACUAGUAUGAACGGCAUCACGAAGGUUAUACUGUCUCCUUUUUCUAAUCAGUGAAACUAAUCUCCCCGUGAAGAAGCGUGGAUAAAAUUAUAAGACGAGAAGACCCUAUGGAGCUUUAAACAACACAGCACUUACCUGAGAACCUUGAAUGUUUCUGUAACACUAACUCUUAGAGUAAGAUGACUGCAAGUUUUUGGUUGGGGUGACCACGGAGUAUAUCAUAACCUCCAUGUUGAAAGAAUUUCUCUAAGCCAAGAACAACCUAUCUAAGCAUUAAUAAAUUAACAUCUAUUGACCCAAUAAAUUUGACCAACGAACCAAGUUACCCUAGGGAUAACAGCGCAAUCCACUUCAAGAGCUCCUAUCGACAAGUGGGUUUACGACCUCGAUGUUGGAUCAGGGUAUCCCAGUGGUGCAGCCACUACUAAAGGUUCGUUUGUUCAACGAUUAAAACCCUACGUGA
rnacentral:rRNA from 1 species